rnacentral:lncRNA from 1 species
CACUUCUAGAUGACUAUGCACGAGUUUUCCUCGCCGCCAUGCAAUAAAAGAAAAGGACACUAGUUGGCUCUUGUUUGGUUUGUCCAAUCGGUAUGGUUGUGGUUGUGUGACGUCACGGCCCUACAGCCAAUAGAGAGGUACCUCGAACGCCGCGGAAAUUUGAAAAAUUUGCUGUCUGAAGGAGCCGUAUCGGCAGUGUAUUGCUAGGUGUCUUAAAGGUAAACGGCUCCGACAUCGGUCCCAGCCAUGGACAACCUAUUGGCAGUGAAGAAGGAGAAGGCUCUCCUGGCCUGGGUGAAUAGUUUCUCUCUGGGUGACUACGCUGAGAAGAUGUGUGAGUUGAGGGACGGACGCCUGCUCAGCCAACUGCUUCUCAAACUGUGAGUCUAACUUACACUCACUCAUAUACACACACACAACACACACACACGCUCACACUCAGUUAUACACACACUCACACUCAGUUAUACACACACACUCACAGUUAUACACACACACUCACUCAUAUACACACACACACAGUUAUACACACUCACUCAUACACACACACACGCACACACGCGCCUCAUACAGACUCAUGCUCACCUGCACAUACACUCACUC